UUGAUUCUCAGAGAUUCGUCAAGGAAUCAUCAUCAUUGAAUCGUUGCUCUGCAAUUCGAGUGCGAGUCCACCACCGAAAGCGGCGAACUCAAGCACGAUCACAGAGACUUUCUCGGAGACGAAGAAGAGGGACGAAAAUGAGCAUGUCGAACCUGUGAAGAAGAAGAGAGGAUCGGAACAGCAAGAAACCAAGCCAGAAUCAACGGAACAAGAUUAAAUUCAAGUUUCCCUGAAGAUCCGGUUCGGAAUCACCAAGAAAACCACAGGUAAAACUCAAACUUCAUCUUCUUUUUCGCAAGAACAGAGAAAAAGGCGAAUCAAGUGUAAAUCUGUAGGAUUAUAGAAGCAUGUAACCGAAAAAGCACAAAGAACAAAAGAAAAACUUCAUUCAAAACCGCAACUUCAAACUCAGAUCUACUCCGGUUGAAAU
rnacentral:lncRNA from 1 species